UCGGGUAUGGUGUAACGGCUAACAUUGCCGCCUCUCAUGCGGUUCUGCUCGGAGUGUCGCGGCAGCUCGGGGUUCGAUUCCCCGUACCCGAA